rnacentral:rRNA from 1 species
AUUGAACGCUGGCGGCAUGCCUUACACAUGCAAGUCGAACGGUAACAGGUCUUCGGAUGCUGACGAGUGGCGAACGGGUGAGUAAUACAUCGGAACGUGCCUAGUGGUGGGGGAUAACUACUCGAAAGAGUGGCUAAUACCGCAUGAGAUCUACGGAUGAAAGCAGGGGAUCGCAAGACCUUGUGCUACUAGAGCGGCCGAUGGCAGAUUAGGUAGUUGGUGGGAUAAAAGCUUACCAAGCCGAAGAUCUGUAGCUGGUCUGAGAGGACGAUCAGCCACACUGGGACUGAGAAACGGCCCAGACUCCUACGGGAGGCAGCAGUGGGGAAUUUUGGACAAUGGGCGCAAGCCUGAUCCAGCAAUGCCGCGUGCAGGAUGAAGGCCUUCGGGUUGUAAACUGCUUUUGUACGGAACGAAAAGCCCCGGGUUAAUACCCUGGGGUCAUGACGGUACCGUAAGAAUAAGCACCGGCUAACUACGUGCCAGCCGCCGCCGUAA